ACCUGAAAAGACUGAUACAAGUCCUGCUGAGACUGGCUGUACUAACAUGGACACCAUAACCUUACAUGCCAGCUGACCAGGAGAAGUGCCUGGCAGAGGAGAGGCGGCAGGAGUGCAUGGCCGAGUGUCUCUCAACUGGAGGGAGAAACAACAGGCGUUUGCAGACAUCUUCAGCGCUAAGGAGGACCUCAAGUCUCAGAGGCAGAACAGCCUGACUCCAACCCCUUCUGCAGCACCCAAUGUAUCAGCAAUAAUCCUACUUUUCUCAGGAGUGACCAGAGGGUGAAGAUUCUGAAAAACCAAGAUGGCACUCCCAGGAACUUAAUGGAAGGGGACCCAGUCUUAAUCUCCACACCAGAGACUGGGGCUGAGGAUGCUG